rnacentral:piRNA from 1 species
UAGAUAUUGCUUUGAAUUGGUGACCUUU